GACAGAGGGUGCAAACGUUGUUCGGAAUUACUGGGCAUAAAGCGCACGUAGGUGGUCCGCUAAGUCGCGUGUGAAAUCCCCCGGCUCAACCGGGGAAAUGCGCGUGAUACUGGCGGGCUUGAGAUCGGGAGGGGUGAAUGGAACUCCAGGUGGAGCGGUGAAAUGCGUAGAUAUCUGGAGGAACACCGGUGGCGAAAGCGGUUCACUGGCCCGACACUGACACUGAGGUGCGAAAGCUAGGGCAGCAAACGGG
rnacentral:rRNA from 1 species